rnacentral:lncRNA from 1 species
GAGCGGUUGCUCUCUGAUCUAAUUGCAGACACAAUCUGCAGAACCGUCUUCUAUGGGAUUUGAACUUGUGAAGUGUGAGGUGGAGACCUGAAUGUAACAAAUUGGUGUUAAGUGAAUAAUUCCAAACAUAUAAAAUUUAGAUCAUCACACCGAACGCAAACAGAACAAUUAAAUAAACAACUGAAGGCAUACGCAAUCUAAUUAGACAAAUAAGUGAACUUUCCCAUGCCGAAAUCUGAAAGGCCAACAGAAAUAUCUCAUUACAGCACAGAAGACAAAACUUAGGACAAAACUUAAAACUAAUCAAACUUAGGUGAACCAAUUAUAGAGAACAUAACCCUUGUAACCAAUCGGGAAAAGAUGCUUUUAAAUCCCAGAAAAAAAAAUUAAGAGGAGUUUUUUAAAAAACCAUCAUUUCAAUUAUUUUCCAGUCUUACAUUUGGAUUAAACAGAAAAUAUAAGUAAAAAUGCCAACUUUCUAAAAAAACUACAACUAUUUUUACAAAUUUCCAUUACCCAAUGCUGAAAAAUGAGAAUCACGAAGCAAUGAAGAACGGAACACGCGAGAACCAAAAAGUUAAAAACAACACGUAACCAUUUCAAAGACCCAAAAUCCUGCAAGGACAAAAAAAUCCCAUAAAAUCAGUACAUCAGCACUCCCUGCAAAACCCCAAAAUCAGAAAAUUAUAAAAAGAACCCAAAAUCAGUGGCAUGGUCCUCGUUUCUCCAUCAUUCAGUAGCUAAUGACCUAAUGGAAAAGAACCCAAAACAUACAGCUUAAAAUAUGGAAAGUGCUUAUAAAAGCUCAUGAAUAACGUUCAAAGCCUGCAUAGAAAUGGUAUAGCGCAGAUAACAACAAACAAUAAAACUAUGCACAGUAUAACCUAAAUCCGAUAUGUUGCAUUCCCCACACACAGAUUGUUCAAAAUUAAUUUCGUCUCCGUCUUUUUUCAAAUCUGAUAAAAUCCCCAAAACACAAAAAAUAGCAGCUAACUAUUUUUUGAACUCUGUAAACAACGAUAUGCAUCUUAACCCAUUUAACAUAUUCAUAAAAUAACAUCAAACACAUUUAUGCAUGAGAUAAUAUAGAAGUGAAGUCUCACAACUUUCAUAAAAAAUUAUUACUUUGUUAGAGAAAGGCUUGAAAAAAUAUGUAAAUUACUCACCUCUAUUACAAAAAUGUUACAACAGUAGACAAAAAAGGCCAAAAAUACCAAAAGCCGCACCUCCUGAAAUAAAAAACAUAACCAAACGACACAUUCUCAGUAUCUAAACGAUAUCCAGAAAAAAAGAAAUGAACAGACGAAACCCAUGUAAAUAUACAGAACAAACCAAAAAAAAAAAAAAGAACUGAAGCCAGUAAGAAGAUCACAAAUCUGAUAAAGCAAAAGGUAACAUAAUCUAUAUCGAUUUAAUUAUCCAUCCAAAAAGACAUUUGAAUGAAGAACAUUUUUAAGGAUCCAAACAACCAUUAAACUAAACAAUUAAAAGUAAAAACAGCAAAGCAUUCAUUGAAGAAAUAUAUAUAUAUAUAUAUAUUAUAACGUAUUUUGUUCUUUAUACCUAAAAGAAAAACAUUGGCUUUCUUGUAUGCACUGAAGUAUGCAUGUGUCGGAAAUUUACAAUCUAUAGAGACUCAAUCUCAGACUCAAAAAGACAUCUAAAGGAAAAGUAAUAAGAAAAAUAAGUAGUGGUUUUACCUAUACUCCAUGUGUGGACUCCAAUUUUCAAUCACAAUUCAAAAUUCAAGAGGCCUAUAAAUCAACCACAUAGGAAAUGAUCAGUGGAAGAAAAAGAAAAACAACUGAAGCCAAAAUAGCAUCUAACAAAUCAUUUAGAACCAUCACAGAAAACAAUUUUUGCAUAUAAGUAAUUUAAAGGAAUACCAUCAGGUCAUGCAUAUAUACAACGUACCCAAUUAGAUAAGUAGCACAUCAACAAUUGAUGAUCAAAAAGUUAGUCAGCCUCAAUUGCUUGAAUCUAAUUAACUCAAAGAUAAUAAACAGUCCAUUUAAUGCACGGGCUGACUAUCAAUUUUAUAAAGCUAUAAUUCUGUGCAGUUCAAAAACCAAGUGGAAGAAUAGGCAAAAACUAUCUCAUCGCCUGUAAAUGUAAUUAACUAAAUAUUAAACUUCACAGCCACAAAUAAACCUAAAUUCCUCCUAAAACUAUCUCAUUUAAGCUUGAUUUUACUAUAAUCUAUAAGUGUGGUAAAAAAUGGGAGGCCAAACGAUUUGUUAACAAAAAAGGUAGACAUAAAAGUAAAAGGAACAGGGCAGACAUUAGUUGAGGAGAAGCUAAUGUCACCUUGAAUUGACGACAAACAGUUCUUAUCUUCUCGAAUUAACGAAGAUAAGUACCAUUUUUCUUUAAUUCAAGGUAAUAUAAAAAGAAAUUAUACCUGUACAGUGUUCAGAUGUAGCAAUCCUAUGCAAUCGGCCAAAUGAUGUGUGUCCUCUCAAAGAUCUGUAUAUCCAUUACAGACUAAUCUUCAGUCUUGCAGAAAAUGAUAUGUUGACUACAAUUUCCCAUACUACUAAAAAACACAAAUAAUUCUAUCUACAAACCAAAUAAUAUGUGCAACUUUAUGCUACAAUGGUAGAAUAAGAUGGUUGUACAGGACGACACAAAGAUUGAGACUUUUUUUUACUUCUAAAAUUCUACACACUUUCGAGCCCUAAAUUUUCCCGGAAACAAAAAAAAGUGAAAGAAGUCGUACCUGGUUUGAGAGAGUGGGACACCAUCGGCGAGUUUGGUGUAGCAGUGAUGGCGGAGAUCUCUGGUGAGAAAGCUAAUAAGAUGGACAAAAUCAUUGAACAAAAAAAACCUCGCUUUUUAAAAUUAAAGUCAACAAAAAUUUGAACAAAGAAAAGAGAACUCAAACCCGAAACAAAUAAGUCGGAGAACUCGCCAGGAAACCCAAAGUUUCUGCAGGAUUGGCGAUUUCCUGAAAACCAAGCUUUUGUAGGUUUAAAAUUUCUUCCCUAAGGCAACAGAUCCAACAUUCCCAACUUUAGCUAUUUCAGCUACAUAAUAGAAAGAAAAAAAAAUUUAUAUAAUUAACUAAUCUGAUUUAAGAUUAAUCGAAAAGCUUGGAAAUUUCAGCUUUAAAAUUACAUGUCAGGCUGCAAAUCUAAUAAAAAGCGUAGAAUUUUAAAAAUGCUGACCUUAAAUACAGAGGCCUUCGCAGGCUGCAAAGAAGCGUUAGAAACCCGAAAAACCGGAUCUCCUGAAACCAAAAACAAAACCAAAUUAACCAUCAUCACCCAUAAUUCGAAGCCACAAACAUAAUCCCCAAAAUUACAACCCAAAAAUUUAAACAAAAAAACCCAUUUAUAAAUCCAAAUUUACACUCCCAAGUGCAAGACUCUAAGCUCCAACUGUUCUUUCUCAACUUUAGCUAUUUCAGCAACAUAACAUAAAUAAAAAGGUCGUACCCAGUGCACAAGGCUCCCGCUUUACGCAGGGUCUGGGAGAGGUGAAUGUCGGCUAGCCUUACCCCCAUUUUAUGGAGAGGCUGCUCCCAAGUCUCGAACCCGAGACCUACCGCUCAUGGGCGAAGACACUUGCCAUCGCACCAAGUGCGACCUCUAGCAACAUAACAUAAAUAAAAAGAUCGUACCCAGUGCACAAGGCUCCCGCUUUACGCAGGGUCUGGGAGAGGUGAACGUCGGCUAGCCUUACCCCCAUUUUAUGAAGAGGCUGGAACAUAACAUAAAUAAAUAAACAAAAUUAAUUUAACUAUAAUUAACUAAUAUGAUUUAAGAUUAAUCAAAAAACUUGGAAAUCUGCUUGAAUCCAAUCUCAAAAUUGAAAACGAACACUUCACUUUUACAAAAGUUGUACAAAGCAAAAAAAAAAAAACAGACAAAUCAAAGUCUCACAAAGGGCCACAACGACAGCAAAAUUGCAACAGAAAGAGGAAAAAUGUUCAAUCAAACCAUUGGAUAACUCUUCUAAGGCAGCCAAAAAAAAACCCACAAAUUCAAAACCACAAAAAUCCAAUCUAAAACAUCGAUUCACAGACUGAGAUGCACAAAAUGAUAUAUUAACAAAUCCAAAACGAAAUACAAAAAUUAAGAACCAACAAGCAAAAAAAUACUGAUUAUCCCCUGCAUACGUGAGCACACGUUCAAAAAGCCUCUCAAAGGCUGAGAUUCAACUUUCAAACAUAAAGACUUUAAGCCACAAUUGUUCUUUCUUAACUUUAGCUACUUCAGUUACAUAAUCGGAAAAAAAAAAUUAUUUAAUUAUAGUUAACUAAUCUGGGUUAAGAUUAAUAAAAAAGCUUGGAAAUUUCAGAUCUAAAAUCACACCUCAGGCUGCAAGUAGAAUCAAAACCAUGGAAUUUCAAAAUCACUGACCUUAAACACACAGGUCUUCGCAGGCUUCAAAGAAAAGUCACAAACUCGAAAAACCCAAUCUCCUGAAAUCGAAAACAAAACCAAAUUAACCAUCAUCACCUAGAAUCCGAAGCUACAAAACAAAAUUCCCAAAAUCAAAACCAAAAAAUUUGAACAAAAAACUCAUUUAAUAUCCAAAUUUACACUCCCAAGCACAUAACAUUCAAAGCAGACAAUUACCCAAAUCAAAUCGACAGCAGGAGAUGCAAUCUUUUAUGGGCUUCAAAUUUUCUUCAAACCGAGACCAAAUUCGCUAGUUUUCAGCAAGAGAGCGUUGCCGUUUGUAACCCCCGAUGAAAAGAUCCAAACAAAUUUGACUAACAGUAGACAGAGAGAGAGAGAGAUAGAGAGAGAGAGGUGAAAAUUACUCGCUGGUGACGAAGCUAAUGAAUUCGGAGACGCAUUCCUGGACGGUGUUCGACUGAUCGGCACGAGUAGAGACACCAGAUCAGAAAGACAGAAAAAUUAGGGUUUGGGAGAUAAAGAAACUGGGGCAGAGAGAGAGGGAAAGAGAAGCAGAAAAGAGGAUAAUUUUAUGCAUUUUUUUUAGCCGCUUUGAAUUUUUUUUGGCCGACAGGCAUUUGCGUCCGAUUAUUUUUGUCGAAGCCGGUGACACCAAAACCGGCCUCCGGCUUUCGGACCAGGAUUGUCUGCCCCUUCAUUUUCCCUGCCAUGU